GAUGAACGCUGGCGGCGUGCCUAAUACAUGCAAGUCGAGCGGACGGACGAGGAGCUUGCUUCUCUGAUGUUGGCGGCGGGCGGGUGAGUCGCACGUGGAUUGCCUACCUCUAAGGCUUGGGUCACUUCGGGAAACCGGAGCUCGUACCGGAUGAUAUUUUGAACCGCAUGGUUCGAAAGUUAAUGACGUUCUUGCUGUGCCUUCUACAUGGCUCCGCGCUGCAUUAGCUAGUUGGUAAGCUAACGGCUUACCAAGGCCACGAUGGAUGGCCGACCUGAGAGGGUGAACGCGCCCACAGGGGGUGAGACACGGUCCAGACACCUACGGGAGGCACCAGUAGCGAAUCUUGCGCAAUGGGCGGAAGCCUGACGGAGCAACGCCGCGUGAGUGAUGCAGGUCUUCGGAUCGUAUAACUCUGUUAUUAGGGAAGAACAUUUGUGUAAGUAACUGUGCACAUCGUGACGGUACCUAAUCAGAAAGCCCCGGCUAACUACGUG
rnacentral:rRNA from 1 species